UACGUAGGGUGCGAGCGUUAAUCGGAAUUACUGGGCGUAAAGCGUGCGCAGGCGGUUUGCUAAGACAGGUGUGAAAUCCCCGGGCUUAACCUGGGAACUGCGCUUGUUACUGGCAGGCUUGAGUGUGGCAGAGGGGGGUGGAACUCCACGUGUAGCAGUGAAAUGCGUAGAGAUGUGGAGGAACACCGAUGGCGAAGGCAGCCCCCUGGGCUAACACUGACGCUCAUGCACGAAAGGCGUGGGGAGCAAACAGG
rnacentral:rRNA from 1 species